rnacentral:tmRNA from 1 species
GGGGCUGAUAUAGCGUUCGACGUAGAGACUUUAACAAGCUGUUUUGCGUACCGACAUCUGACGUAAUCAGAAACAAUAAUUGCAAACUUUGCAAACAAAGCGAAGGCGUUUGUUGCAUCUUUGAUGCCUAAGCAAACAGCUUUUGCAGUAGCCGCUGCUUAACUAUAUUUGCGGUCGUAUCGGUUUAGAUUCUUGCUAUAGAUUCGAUGCGUCAUAUUGAGCAAGAUCGAUUGUUGGUAUUUUUCUGCUAUACCAGUAGUUUAAAUUUUUAUUUAUGCAGAUCGCUGUAAUUCGUAUGUUUGUUUAGCUUUGAGCGAAUUAAGCGAUUAACUUAUGAGCUAGACUAUGUGCGUAGACAAACAGCGGGUUACUUUGCGGACCCGGGGGCAGUACCCGGCAGCUCCACCA